CCUACGGGUGGCAGCAGUGAGGACUAUUGGUCAAUGGACGAGAGUCUGAACCAGCCAAGUAGCGUGAAGGAUGACUGCCCUAUGGGUUGUAAACUUCUUUUAUAUGGGAAUAAACUGUUCCACGUGUGGGAUUUUGUAUGUACCAUAUGAAUAAGGAUCGGCUAACUCCGUGCCAGCCGCUGCGGUAAUACGGAGGAUCCGAGCGUUAUCUGGGUGUAUUGGGUUUAAAGGGAGUGGAGGUGGAUUGUUAAGUCAGUUGUGAAAGUUUGCGGCUCAACCGUAAAAUUGCCGUUGAUACUGGCAGUCUUGAGUACAGUAGAGGUGGGCGGAAUUCGUGGUGUAGCGGUGAAAUGCUUAGAGAUCACGAAGAACUCCGAUUGCGAAGGCAGCUCACUGGACUGCAACUGACACUGAGGAUCGAAAGUGUGGGUAUCAAACAGGAUUAGAUACCCUUGUAGUC
rnacentral:rRNA from 1 species